GCGGAAUGCAGAGUGACACCACCAGUCUGCUGAAAAUGUCUUCAGUCGAAUUUCUGCCUUCGUACGUGGGCAUACCGCACACGGGUGUUUCGUUGGGACUAAGUGCAUCUCGUUCGUCCGUGUUGAGUGCGUCGGGAACAGCUUCGCUGUCAAGGUUCCGUUCAUGGAAAGAAGAGAUUCUUUGAGGGAAUAAAAGAUGCAUGCCGAUGCAGCUCUACAUUACUAUGCAUAUAUUAGAGUUCCUCUUCUGUAUGAAUUUUUUUUUUUUUUUUGUGUACAACUUUUGUGCGGUAAUAUGCAAACUGGUAUUCUCACCAAUCCCUGAAAGCACUUAAUUGAUUCAAGAACUGCUCUGACCCACACAAAGACUUUAUCAUCACUCACUGAAAAUAAUGUAGGUUUUUGGCAAAAAUUGUACAUCUAUUUCAAACUCUAAUUCAAUAUGCAAGCAAGAGAUGGUGGUUUUCUCAGGUGAUUUGGAUCAGGGUUGUAAUCUACAUUUAAAGUUUAUUUCAUGUAAUUAUACAAAAACACAAUCAUUAUGCCUAGUCUUGUAGAAGCCUAAACCGCACGGUAAAGAUGGUUAGGGAGCUGUGCAUUGAUGAUAAUACUUCUCCAAAAUGUAGCUUUCUGUUUAGAAAAAUUCAGAUGCUCUGACUUGUUUAGCAGAUGUUAAACUGAUUUUCAUUUACUCGCAUAUAGCUGUUUCAAGACAGACAACUACAACUACAGGAAAAUGUUAGAAUGACUCAGUUUAUUUAAAAAAAUGCCCUGAGUGUUUAUGCAAUGCUUUUAUUAGAUUCUAAUCAAUAAGAUCCCUUCUGAAAGCAGAGUCUGCAGUUACUUAACUGCUGCUGACAUGAUCAAUCCAGUGUUACUCAUUGCGUCCAGAAAUUUUUGGAACAUGUGGUCUUAGUUGAGCUGACUUAAAAUAAUAUGUUAAACCUUUUGUAUUUUUUUGUUUUUUUGUCUCUUGUGUCAGAAUAUUCUUUUGGCAACAUUCUGUAUUGUUCAUGCCAAUCAGCCUACUACUUAAGUAACUUGCCUUAUUUUAUGAAGGCAGAUAGCAAUACUGUAUGUACAACUGCCAAUAAUCUUAUUCAAUAAACAUUCAGUAUGCACUAGCAAGACUAAACAGUAGUUAGUGCAGUUACCUUAUAGAGCUAGAAUGUUGUGUGUAAAUCAAAUAUAGUUAAACGA